UCCCAGCCUGAGCUACAGGAGUUAGAGGUGUCCGCGCGGGAAAGUGGCUCGCUGGUGGGCGGGGAGCCUUAGUCCUGGCGGUGGGUUGAAAAUCCGGCGCCGGGCAGACGCCCACGUUUGCUGAACCCCGGCUUGCCGGCGUUGGCUGCAACCCAAGGAAGCAACCAGUGACAUCGAUGGUUUCAUGAAUGGACUUCCUACCGGUAGACCCUGCAAGAGCAUGAACUCCUCUAUCAUUCAUCCAGAUGAAGAAAGAAAGAAAAAAGAAGUCCCACCGAUACCCCAGGACAGUGGGGGAGGCGCCCUUCCUUCUGUGUCUCCAACCCUAGCAUCCACCUAGUGUAUGCCUUGGACAAAGAUGCCAAGAAGAAUUUGCCAACACUGCAAUAGACAGAGACGAUCAAAGGCUGCUGUGCCCUUGGGGGCCCAGCUGUGCCAAAUCAGUGACUAAGACAACUGUGGAUUCUAAGGAGAGCUCUUGGAAUGUGAAAUAGGAAAAAGCCCUGUUGUGGAAUCAGUUCUCCCUGCCUGAGCUAUCCUUUAUAGGAGGUUAUGCCAUGAACACCAAGCAUCGGUUUUAAUCUUAUGCUAUUGUGUCGAAGUCUCCUCCUCAUGUACAUUGAAUAACAUCUUAUGUCUUCUAUUUAUAUUAAUUUACACAGUUAAAUUAUCAAAGGAAAACACCAAAAUCAUACUUUUCCAAGUUUGAGCUUGACUUUUGGCUUUCUUUAAGAACUAUAAAUUUGAUGUGGCAAUGCAUUAAAUUCUUGAGUUAUUCUUAGACCACUUUUAAGAUUAAUGUAGUCUUAAAAUUGGUUUUUCUUAGAUUGUGCAUUCAUUUCAUUAAGGUGAAGCAUAUUUGGAAAUUAGCACUAAAUUAAAUUUUUCCCAUUCUAAAACAACUUACAUAUAUAUCAGAUGUUAGUAGACUUCAUUUUUAUAUUCUUAAAAUUGCACCAAAAAAUUAUAUUUUGUAUAGAAUAUAUGUAGUACUUGACAGUUAUAAAAACCUGCAUGAGGCCGGGCGCUGUGGCUCACGCCUGUAAUCCCAGCACUUUGGGAGGCCGAGGCAGGCGGAUCACAAGGUCAGGAGAUCGAGACCAUCCUGGCU